UACGUAGGGUGCGAGCGUUAAUCGGAAUUACUGGGCGUAAAGCGUGCGCAGGCGGUUUUGUAAGCCGGAUGUGAAAUCCCCGGGCUUAACCUGGGAAUGGCAUUCGGGACUGCAAGGCUGGAGUGCGGCAGAGGAGACUGGAAUUCCUGGUGUAGCAGUGAAAUGCGUAGAUAUCAGGAGGAACACCGGUGGCGAAGGCAGGUCUCUGGGCUGACACUGACGCUCAUGCACGAAAGCGUGGGGAGCAAACAGG
rnacentral:rRNA from 1 species